AAAAACUGGGGUGUAUUUUCCUUAGGCAAUGAUUUGCCUCCUAACUCCUUCUCCAUGAGGCUGGGAAAACUAAUGUUUUACCUCAUUGGGGAAGGGAAGAAGGAAGUUACUCUUCCAAACAGAAAGUAAAUUACAAGCAUGGCACAUUCUAUGAAAAAGCAGUGCAUUACCUGUCUCAAACAGCUUUCAGGUUUAGUAUUUUUUUUCAUGAGUGCACUGAUCCUUUCACUUAUCUAGUCUAAAAUUCAGGGGAGAAAUUCAUUUCCCUACAACCCUUUGCCAUUUGGGCCUACCCAGUCUCCAAGAUUCAUCUAAUUUGGGAUUCCUUCACACUAUGCUCAGCAAGGAGUUCUCCCUUGCUAUGGGAGAUCCAAGAGCUUUGACAAAAGGUAUCUGAAUGGAUUGAGAAAGGAACUUUAAAAAGUCUGGAGGAGAAGGGAACAAAGGAGCCAUUAUAUAGUGCCAAGAAGCACAAGGUCAAAGAGACCAACCAAUCCUAAUGGGGUUGAUGAAAAUCUUCACAGUACAAAGGAGCACAAGGUCAAAAAGGACCAAACCAAUCCAGGUCUUUGCACAGUGGAAGGCACAGAAAGGGAGUAAUAUAUGUGAAGUCCAUGAGAAGCCUAUCUGCGAUGAAAGUUAUCAUGAGAUCUUAACUGAAGGAGGAAUAAGCAAUUCAAGCCUCUUCUCCCCACAUCUUUCCUCAAGGAAGAUUCCUGCUAAGGGAGAAAACAAGCCGUUAGGAUGGGAUAUUCACUCUUCUCUUCUCGGAGAAAAGAUUUUAGGAAUGAUGAACUGGAGUAAUUCCACGUGAACUGGAAAGACCUCCAGGAAUUGAUGCAGAGUGAAAGGAGCAGAACCAGGAGAACCUGUACUCAGAGACUGACACACUGUGGCACAAUUGAAUGUAACAGACUUAUCCACUAGCAGCAGCCAUGAUCCAGGAGAAUCCAGAGGAAUUUAUGAGAAAGAACACCAUCCACAUCCAGAGCAAGAACUGUGGGAGUAGAAACAUAGAAGAAAAACAUAGGAUUGAUGAUGUGAUUUGAUGAGGAUACGAUGGGAUUUUUGGCUUUAAAUAAUCAUUCUAUUGUAAAUACGAAUAAUACAUAAAUAGGUUUUGAACAAUGAUCCAUGUAUAACCCAGCAGAAUUGCUUGUUCAGCUCCAGUAAGGGAGAAGGAAAAGGGGUGGGAAAAAUCGUGAAUCAUGGAAUCAUGGAAAAAUCUUAUGAAUAAAGAAAUUUUUAAAAAAUUUAAAAAAAUAGUU
rnacentral:lncRNA from 1 species